CUUACCCCCCACAGCAGCAAGUCUGUAUCCCGGCAGGAGGAAGGGAAAGAGUGGACAGCCGCAGACAUCCACCCCUCUUCAGGAGAUUUUCUGGAAGCCCUCCCCAGCAUCUUCAUUUAACUGGCAAACUGUUUCAUAUGGCCACUCCCAUCUGAAAGGAAGGAAGCCUCCGUGAAUAAGAAACCUCAAGAAUGAAACACUUAAUUAUAACCAAACAUGGAGCAAACAAAGGAACAAUGGCUGAGCUGGGCUGUUUCAUAUGAAUCCUGCCUACAAAAGGAGGUGAUGAAAUGGAGACCUAGAAAGGCUUGGUAUCUUGUCUCAAAUCACACAGCUAAGAAGGAGCAAAGCCAGAUUCGAACUUGGGAAGUCUUACAGAACUGGAACCUUAACACUGUGUUCUAAUACAUAUCCUCAAAUGGAAUAGAAGCACGACAUGUGAUGAUAAACUCUCUGCUGCCAAACUCGUUGGUUUGGGAUAUUGUGACUAGGGAAA